GAGAAAAGUAGCUUUUUUUUCUGGUAAAGUUACACUGGGUACAUGGGCCACAUCAAUAAUAUACCGUCCGGCACAUUGUCUAGGAAAGUACUACGUGGCUGUGGUGGAAGAUCAGACCUCACCACCAUUUGACUGAUGUUGGGGGCGUGUCUGAAGGCUACCCGUCGGGGUUCUUUAAUCGUCUUUUCCACUUGUGGAUCAAUGAUCAAGACGUGCCAGUGUUUUAAUGAUGUGGUCCAACUGUUUACCAAGUGGGGAGUACUGAAGGAAGCAUUGAACAUGUUGGUCUGGAGGGAGGGGAGGUUUGGGGAGAACUGAAGGAAGCAUUGAACAUGUUGCUCUGGAGGGAGGGGAGGUUUGGGGAGAACUGAAGGAAGCAUUGAACAUGUUGGUCUGGAGGGAGGGGAGGUUUGGGGAGAACUGAAGGAAGCAUUGAACGUGUUGGUCUGGAGGGAGGGAGGUUUGGGGAGUACUGAAGGAAGCAUUGAACAUGUUGGUCUGAAGGGAGGGGAGGUUUGGGGAG
rnacentral:lncRNA from 1 species